rnacentral:rRNA from 1 species
UACGUAGGGUGCGAGCGUUAAUCGGAUUUACUGGGCGUAAAGCGUGCGCAAGCGGCCCGUUAAGACAGGUGUGAAAUCCCUGGGCUCAACCUAGGAAUUGCGCUUGUGACUGGCGGGCUCGAGUACGGUAGAGGGGGGUGGAAUUCCUGGUGUAGCAGUGAAAUGCGUAGAGAUCAGGAGGAACACCGAUGGCGAAGGCAGCCCCCUGGGCCUGUACUGACGCUCAUGCACGAAAGCGUGGGGAGCAAACAGG